UACAGAGGUCUCAAGCGUUGUUCGGAUUCAUUGGGCGUAAAGGGUGCGUAGGCGGCGCGGUAAGUCGGGUGUGAAAUCCCCGGGCUCAACCUGGGAAUUGCAUUCGAAACUGCGAGGCUAGGGUACGGAAGAGGGAAGCGGAAUUUCUGGUGUAGCGGUGAAAUGCGUAGAUAUCAGAAGGAACAUCAGUGGCGAAAGCGGCUUCCUGGUCCAGUACCGACGUUCAGGCACGAAAGCGUGGGGAGCAAACAGG
rnacentral:rRNA from 1 species